GUAACUAGCCAAACAAAAAAAGAGUGGGCCAUCACUUUUAAAAGUUGCUUGGAGUUCCCACUGUGGCUCAGUGGUUAACGAAUUAUUUUUUAUAGUAUUUAUGAUGGAGAGACCCAUCCAUCAUAAGCACUUAAUAGCUCUCCUUAUUUACAAGCCAGAUUCAUCUAAGGGAUAUUUAUUCUUUUAUUUUUCUGAUGCCUGAAAUGUUCCUUUAAAAUAGAUUAUCAGUGAGGAUACACAGUGACACCAAAUUUGUUGGUGGUAAAAAUGCAGGAUAGAUAAGCCUUUUCUUUUUAAAUGCUGCAACAGAAAAAGUCAUUUUAUUUAAGUAAAAACACUGCUUUUUGCUUAAGUGCCAAUUACAUAAUAGAUUUCUUCCAUUAAAGUUUUCAGGAAAGUGAAUGUCUAUUAAAUGAUUUCUCCCCAGUGACUUCUAUUGUACAAAUGCUGUUGUCUUCUCCUAGGCUGUGAACGUAAUAUGUUCUCAGGUGAGAAAACCGAGAAGAAAGAAAGAGAGGGAGAAGAGAGAAAAAACCCUUUUCAUAUCGUAAAUCGAAAGGAAACAUGACCUUUCUGAUGAUGUUUAAAAUAUUGCCUUCAUGGUGUCCUUAUGCUAAGCUAAGGUAAUAACAAAGUGGUGAUACACAACAGUAUCACAAUUCUGAAGCUGUUACUUUUUUUUCAUCACCCUUCCACCCAUUGUUCCUUUGAGAGAGAGAGAAAGAAAGAGAGCCAUCACCGAAGCUUUAAGCUAAUAGGUUAUUUUAAUAGGUUUAGCAUCCUUGUCUCUAUACCGCAUAAACUUGACCUGCAAGCGUUGUUUUGUUAACUUGAAGAUGAAAGUUCAAUAUACUCAUCUCUUUCGAAAAACAUUUUCUCCUAACCCUUCACCAAUUUGUUAUGCGAUCUUUGCCUGAGGAGUGCUAGCGGGUGAUACAUAAUGCUUAGCAGUUGAAAUACCUGCACUUCGAUAGCAAUAAAGUCUCAUCCCAAUUGACAUCUGUUGUGGUGCAGUAUGGAUUGUAAAGGCCCUGUGCUUUGGGCCCCUAGCUCAAAUACCUAACAUGUACUAAACACUAGGUGUGAGUCAUCGGGAGGGAACUAUGCAUAAUACACACCAUCUCAUCUCACCUUGCAAAGUUGAUUAUCAUCUCCACAUGGUAUGUAUUAGGCCAGUCUCUCUUUUGCAGGACAGUGAGUCUUCAACUUGUGAAAUGACUUGCUCAGAGUCACUCAAAGAAUAAAAGAGCUCAGAUUUAUUUGACUCCAGCUCAGAUUGGGCUCUAGAACCUGGAUACUUAGCUAACGCCAUGUCCCAGGUUUCAGCAUGGGCUGUGCUUUCAGAGUCAUCCAGGGACUUUUCAAAAGACUGAUGUGCAAGGGCUCAGCAUCUUCAGGAGCUGGGCCCUGGGCACCUGUGUCUUGAAGUUUUUACAGUUGACCCUGAGGCUCCAUCAGGAAGGCUUGACCAUGACUGAAUUCUGUAGCAUGCCUAACUCAGCGUCUUGCUUAGUUAUUGAAUGGCUGAACAAAGCUCUGAUUGCCUUUGAGCCUAUAGUCGGGUCAUCGGGAUAGAUGUGCACGCAGCCAAACCUGAACAAGAUGCAUUGUGAUAAGUACUAAGGUAGUGUCUUAGUCUGUUCGGGCUGCUAUAACAAAAUACUACAGACUGGGUGGCUUAGAAACACCAUAAACGUAUUUCUCAUAAAAAGUGGAAAUCCAAGAUCAGGGUGCCAACAUGGGUGGGUUCUGGCGAAGGUCCCUUUCUGGGUGGCAGACUACCCACGUUUUGCUGUGUCCUCACAUGGUGGAAGGGAUGAGGGAUCUCUCUGGUGUCUCUUUUUGAAGGGCACUAAUCCUCUUCAUGAGAGUUCCACCCUCUUGACCUAAUAACCUCCCCAAAGCCCCACCUCCUGAUUCUGUCCCCUUCGUGGUUAGCUUUCAACAUGUGAAUUUGGGGGGAAACAAACAUUCAGACCAUAGCAGGUAGUAGGGACUUUGUAAUAAUUCUGAGCAGGAGGCUUACAGUGGAUCAGGUGUAGUAGCAUCUAAAACAAGGUGACUUUAGCAAGUCCUGUUUAUUCUAGCUCGGAGGGUUCUUUGCAUUUAAUUUAUUUAUUUGUUUAUUUGUAUUAAAGUAUAGUUGAUUUACAGUGCUGUGACAAUUGCUCUUUGCAUUAUACUCUCUAAACCCUAUAACUACCUUGGUCUAGGUUCUCAUGAAGGUCCUAGUCAGGGAUGUUGAAUCGUCUUCAUUCAGUUUGUCCGAGAGAGCUUGGGUGUGAAGACCAGUCAUUUGUGUAUUUCUUUGAUUCCCCCACCUCUACCCUCCAAACUAAUGGAUGUGUUCCUCCAGGUCCACUUUAAUGGGAUUAUUAGGUCAGGGAUAAGGCAUCAGCCGCUUAAGCAGGUUGGUGUGAUGGUGUUUUCUUUUACUCUUUUCUUGUUGAGAUCCGUUGACCAAAAAACCAGUCCUUGAUUCCUGAGUUUAGGAAAUCUCUGCUGAGCUUGCUGUGUGCUGGGCAGUGUGGACACCAAGAUGAGGAUGACUUUUUAGAAACCAGUUAAACUAGUUUAGGUUAAGAAGAGAGAUGCUGAGCUAUCUACUAAGGCAUAGGCAGAAGAUCUGUCUAAUGAUAUUGGGGUUUACUUGGUAUUUGAAUUCUUCGUGUUCAGAAUAUGGAUUAGGGCCAGACUGGCAUUGACAGCCAGGAUCAUUAAACACUUACGGUGACUGUUGGAUGAUUGGCCACAUAUCAGAAGAUAUACUCACAGCAGCUAAUAGGAGCAGUGGGGACUAGAUGAGCAUAGUACAUUGUGGACUGUCCUGUAGAUUUAUUCAUUCAUGAUUUGAAUAUGCACUUAUUAAGUGCUUUUUUGUGUGCCAAGCUCAUUCUAAAGUCUUUAAACUUCAAACUUGGUACUUAGAUGACUCAGGUUCGGAGUUUAGCUACAGGUGUUGUUUCAUCCCAAGAAGGAAUUUUAUCCCAUUUUAUGCUUAGUAUAAAGGGAAGAGUCUAUCUCUCUAUCCCCCAGGCCCCACCAGUUCUACUAUUGAUUGCUCUUGCCAAUCAGCUCUAGGAGAUAUAAAAAUUUCUUGAGCCAUAAGUACCGUACUCCAUUGCGUAUCCUGGUAACCCAGAUGGAGAAACUGAUUGGAAGAGAAGUUUAAUCAUUAGUGCUAGCCUCC
ensembl:lncRNA